rnacentral:rRNA from 1 species
GACGAACGCUGGCGGCGUGCUUAACACAUGCAAGUCGAACGGAAAGGCCCUGCUUUUGUGGGGUGCUCGAGUGGCGAACGGGUGACUAACACGUGAGUAACCUGCCCUUGACUUUGGGAUAACUUCAGGAAACUGGGGCUAAUACCGGAUAGGAGCUCCUGCUGCAUGGUGGGGGUUGGAAAGUUUCGGCGGUUGGGGAUGGACUCGCGGCUUAUCAGCUUGUUGGUGGGGUAGUGGCUUACCAAGGCUUUGACAGGUAGCCGGCCUGAGAGGGUGACCGGCCACAUUGGGACUGAGAUACGGCCCAGACUCCUACGGGAGGCAGCAGUGGGGAAUAUUGCACAAUGGGCGGAAGCCUGAUGCAGCAACGCCGCGUGCGGGAUGACGGCCUUCGGGUUGUAAACCGCUUUCGCCUGUGACGAAGCGUGAGUGACGGUAAUGGGUAAAGAAGCACCGGCUAACUACGUG